AUUGAACGCUAGCGGGAUGCCUUACACAUGCAAGUCGAACGGCAGCGCGGACUUCGGUCUGGCGGCGAGUGGCGAACGGGUGAGUAAUGUAUCGGAACGUGCCCAGUAGCGGGGGACAACUACUCGAAAGAGUAGCUAAUACCGCAUACGCCCUACGGGGGAAAGGGGGGGAUCGCAAGACCUCUCACUAUUGGAGCGGCCGAUAUCGGAUUAGCUAGUUGGUGAGGUAAAGGCUCACCAAGGCGCCGAUCCGUAGCCGGUUUGAGAGGACGACCAGCAGCACUGGGACUGAGCGACGGCCCAGACUCCUACGGGAGGCAGCAGAGGGGAAUAUUGGACAAUGGGGGCAACCCUGAUCCAGCCAUGCCGCGUGAGUGAAGAAGGCCUUCGGGUUGUAAAGCUCUUUCGGCCGGGAAGAAAUCGCACAGGCUAAUACCCUGUGUGGAUGACGGUACCGGCAUAAGAAGCACCGGCUAACUACGUGCCAGCCGCCGCAGUAA
rnacentral:rRNA from 1 species